rnacentral:lncRNA from 1 species
AGAAUUGAAACAAGUCUUCUGAAAUUUUCAGCUCGGUUUGGAAUUUUAUGAAUAUUGCGUUGCUUACUGAAAGUAUAAUGAGAAAAUAUCCAAUUUGUUCUAGCACGUGAUAUGCGCAAAUACUCUAUUUUUAUUUCGGUAUGUUAAAACAUGUUCCGCAUUUCGCAGGAUUUAAAAUUUUUGUAAAGAAUUAAACUCUCAAGAAUUA